rnacentral:lncRNA from 1 species
AAACCCUAGUUCAACAAAUCCUCCAAAUCGAAGCUCAAAUCAAGCCCGAAUCGUCUGCAUGAUUACAAAUUCGUGAUCGCCUAGUCGUGGGGAUCAUAAGUUGACUCUAAACAAGCUAGGUGGGAGCUUGAAAAGGAACGGGUCAAACGGAUCAUGGAUGCGAAGAAUGUUUGCGCGGACGCGAGGGUAAAACGGCUUAUGGAAUUUACGUGGCUAUGAAUCAGCAAAUUAUUAAGGCAAGGUAUUAAAACGGGUCAAUACUUUGACCCGCGCCAGGUACAUUUUGGAUGCCGGAAGACGAUCAAGCUCGACGAAGGAC